rnacentral:lncRNA from 1 species
CCCUUCUCCCUUCUCCCACCCUCUUCUCCUUUCUCCUACCCCCGUUCUCUUUUCUCCCAUUAGAAUAAAACAUCUCCUUUUGAGAUAUUUUUUUUGAAAUAUUAGAUCAUUUUUUAAAAGGAGAGAUAUUUUAUUUUUUCUCCUUUCUCCAACUUUUUCUCCUUUCUCCCAGCCUUCCUCUCCUUUCUCCGACCCCCUUUCUCCUUUCUCCCUGUCUCCCUUACCCAUGUCCUCCCCCUCAU